CCAGGCGUUAUCCGGAUUUAUUGGGUUUAAAGGGAGCGUAGGCUGGAGAUUAAGUGUGUUGUGAAAUGUAGACGCUCAACGUCUGAAUUGCAGCGCAUACUGGUUUCCUUGAGUACGCACAACGUUGGCGGAAUUCGUCGUGUAGCGGUGAAAUGCUUAGAUAUGACGAAGAACUCCGAUUGCGAAGGCAGCUGACGGGAGCGCAACUGACGCUUAAGCUCGAAGGUGCGGGUAUCAAACAGGAUUAGAUACCCUGGUAGUCCGCACAGUAAACGAUGGAUGCCCGCUGKUGGUACCUGGUAUCAGCGGCUAAGCGAAAGCAUUAAGCAUCCCACCUGGGGAGUACGCCGGCAACGGUGAAACUCAAAGGAAUUGACGGGGGCCCGCACAAGCGGAGGAACAUGUGGUUUAAUUCGAUGAUACGCGAGGAACCUUACCCGGGCU
rnacentral:rRNA from 1 species